rnacentral:rRNA from 1 species
GAUUGAACGCUGGCGGCAUGCCUUACACAUGCAAGUCGAACGGCAGCACGGGUGCUUGCACCUGGUGGCGAGUGGCGAACGGGUGAGUAAUACAUCGGAACAUGUCCUGUAGUGGGGGAUAGCCCGGCGAAAGCCGGAUUAAUACCGCAUACGAUCUACGGAUGAAAGCGGGGGACCUUCGGGCCUCGCGCUAUAGGGUUGGCCGAUGGCUGAUUAGCUAGUUGGUGGGGUAAAGGCCUACCAAGGCGACGAUCAGUAGCUGGUCUGAGAGGACGACCAGCCACACUGGGAGUGAGACACGGCCCAGACUCCUACGGGAGGCAGCAGUGGGGAAUUUUGGACAAUGGGCGAAAGCCUGAUCCAGCAAUGCCGCGUGUGUGAAGAAGGCCUUCGGGUUGUAAAGCACUUUUGUCCGGAAAGAAAUCCUUGGCUCUAAUACAGUCGGGGGAUGACGGUACCGGAAGAAUAAGCACCGGCUAACUACGUGCCAGCAGCCGCAGUAAUACGUAGGGUGCGAGCGUUAAUCGGAAUUACUGGGCGUAAAGCGUGCGCAGGCGGUUUGCUAAGACCGAUGUGAAAUCCCCGGGCUCAACCUGGGAACUGCAUUGGUGACUGGCAGGCUAGAGUAUGGCAGAGGGGGGUAGAAUUCCACGUGUAGCAGUGAAAUGCGUAGAGAUGUGGAGGAAUACCGAUGGCGAAGGCAGCCCCCUGGGCCAAUACUGACGCUCAUGCACGAAAGCGUGGGGAGCAAACAGGAUUAGAUACCCUGGUAGUCCACGCCCUAAACGAUGUCAACUAGUUGUUGGGGAUUCAUUUCCUUAGUAACGUAGCUAACGCGUGAAGUUGACCGCCUGGGGAGUACGGUCGCAAGAUUAAAACUCAAAGGAAUUGACGGGGACCCGCACAAGCGGUGGAUGAUGUGGAUUAAUUCGAUGCAACGCGAAAAACCCUACCUACCCUUGACAUGGUCGGAAUCCCGCUGAGAGGUGGGAGUGCUCGAAAGAGAACCGGCGCACAGGUGCUGCAUGGCUGUCGUCAGCUCGUGUCGUGAGAUGUUGGGUUAAGUCCCGCAACGAGCGCAACCCUUGUCCUUAGUUGCUACGCAAGAGCACUCUAAGGAGACUGCCGGUGACAAACCGGAGGAAGGUGGGGAUGACGUCAAGUCCUCAUGGCCCUUAUGGGUAGGGCUUCACACGUCAUACAAUGGUCGGAACAGAGGGUUGCCAACCCGCGAGGGGGAGCUAAUCCCAGAAAACCGAUCGUAGUCCGGAUUGCACUCUGCAACUCGAGUGCAUGAAGCUGGAAUCGCUAGUAAUCGCGGAUCAGCAUGCCGCGGUGAAUACGUUCCCGGGUCUUGUACACACCGCC